AUUGAACGCUGGCGGCAUGCCUUACACAUGCAAGUCGAACGGCAGCACGGGAGCAAUCCUGGUGGCGAGUGGCGAACGGGUGAGUAAUAUAUCGGAACGUGCCCAGUAGUGGGGGAUAGCCCGGCGAAAGCCGGAUUAAUACCGCAUACGACCUGUGGGUGAAAGCGGGGGAUCGCAAGACCUCGCGCUAUUGGAGCGGCCGAUAUCAGAUUAGCUAGUUGGUGGGGUAAAGGCCUACCAAGGCGACGAUCUGUAGCUGGUCUGAGAGGACGACCAGCCACACUGGGACUGAGACACGGCCCAGACUCCUACGGAGCAGCAGUGGGGAAUUUUGGACAAUGGGCGCAAGCCUGAUCCAGCCGAUGCCGCGUGUGGG
rnacentral:rRNA from 1 species